AAAGAAAAGAAAGACUUUUUGUUGAAUUAAAACUACCAAGAUGGUGAAGACAGUAACUAGGCAGUUAUUACUUGGUGCCCAAGAGAACCAAGACACUACCCUCGGCCAAGACCAUCAACUGCAGAGCUCUGGGCCAUGUCUGGAGCUCACCCUGUCAAGCACCCAUGGUUUGCCAGGCUCAGAGCCACAGCUGUUUGCUGACCUGGUUCCUGCGUGUAGCCUGUACAGGCUCAGGGACAACAGGGACAGCUUCAGGAAGUGAGCGGCAAAGAGAAUGACUUUAUACAAGGCCUCUACAUACUCGCCAAGCCCACUGCGUCCCACUGCGUGUGGGUCACGCCCCUACCCUGAAGCACUUGAGGGCUGCUCCAGGGCAGAGCAGCCGGCAGCCAAUGGCAGAGCAGAGGGACUAAAUGGUACAGACAGAAACUGAAGUGGCUGAGGGUGGGGUGCUCCACACUCGGAAGGAGCCGGCAGAAGGAGGCCGACCGUGGACAGAAGGAAAAGCAUUAUGGGAGCCUUGGACCCUCUGCUCUGGAGUUAUUGGGAUGGAUGAGUGUGGUCCCACUUCCAGACUUGAGUUUCCUGGUCUGUAAAAUGAGACCGAUAAGCCGGGCGUGAUGGCGCACACCUUUAAUCCCAGCACUCGGGAGGCA
rnacentral:lncRNA from 1 species